AAAACAGGCUAUGAACAAUACAUGAACAGAGUCUUCUCUAAAAACCUUCAGAAUAUAGAUAUGAAUAAAACUGAAACAGUCUUUCAUCCAUUUUGAGACACUACAGAUAAAAUUAAUAGAUAUCACCAUGAAACAUCUCCUGUUGAUUUUUUACAUUAAGACAAUCUUCUUUUUUUGUUUUAAGUUUUCUGAAAUGUUUUUUUUUUUGUGCAAAAGUGAAAUCUACAGACACAAACCGACAAAAUGAAGUAAAAUAAACACCAAAAAUUUUGGACGUUUUCUUUCCACUAGUUUGAAAAAAAGACGUGUUAUAGAAGAAAAACAGCCCAAAAUCUUAAAAACUGACCAGUUUGUGUCUGUAGUGUCUCACCACAUAAUGUACUAAGUUUCAUCAUGAGACAUUAUAACGUUUAAUACUUGACAACAUGUUGCUCAUCCAGCUGAGUUCCUCCUCAGGGUGGAAAACAUUCCUGUUGUUACUGAAGGACUUACUGAGGCACUACUUUUAUUUUGUAAAACCUGUGCAGGUGUUUGCCGUUGGUGGUUUUGCUAUUUAAAGUUUUGUAGACUUCAUCCAUGUGAAGUUAACUAUAAUUUAACUAUAACAAUGUACAUUUUGUUUGUGUUGUAUUUGAAAAACAGUACUCAACAACUCCUGUGCUUUUAUUUUGAAAAUCACGACAACACGUUUGUACCAGAUCCAGAUUUGUUGUUUCGUUAAUGUUGCAGUCGUGUAAAUAUUUCACUGAGUGUGUCCUGACGCACCUCUUCAUCUGCUCUCUUUGAGAACAGAGGAAAUAAAAAAAAAAACUGUUUUAUAUGAUUCUAUAUUGAAGAAACAUAUUUUUGGAUGUCUUUGUUUCCUGUUAUCUGAUUCCAACCUGAAUGUGCGGUGAGUCAGUGGCCUUAUGAAUGUGUUGUUGUGACAAAUUUGGAAAUAAAAGGUUCAGUCAA